AUUGAACGCUGGCGGCAGGCUUAACACAUGCAAGUCGAACGAGUGGCGGACGGGUGAGUAAUGCUUGGGAAUCUAGCUUAUGGAGGGGGAUAACUACGGGAAACUGUAGCUAAUACCGCGUACCAUAGGAUGAGCCCAAGUGGGAUUAGGUAGUUGGUGAGGUAAAGGCUCACCAAGCCGACGAUCACUAGCUGGUCUGAGAGGAUGACCAGCCACACUGGGACUGAGACACGGACCAGACUACUACGGGAGGCAGCAGUGGGGAAUAUUGCGCAAUGGGGGCAACCUGACGCAGCCAUGCCGCGUGAAUGAAGAAGGCCUUCGGGUUGUAAAGUUCUUUCGGUAGCGAGGCGUUAACGACAGAAGAAGCACCGGCUAACUCCGUGCCAGACGCCGCGGUAAUAC
rnacentral:rRNA from 1 species